rnacentral:rRNA from 1 species
UUGAACGCUGGCGGCAGGCCUAACACACGCAAGUCGAACGGUAACAGGAAGCAGCUUGCUGCUUCGCUGACGAGUGGCGGACUGGUGAGUAAUGUCUGGGAAGCUGCCUGAUGGAGGGGGAUAACUACUGGAAACGGUAGCUAAUACCGCAUAAUGUCGCAAGACCAAAGAGGGGGACCUUCGGGCCUCUUGCCAUCGGAUGUGCCCAGAUGGGAUUAGCUUGUUGGUGGGGUAACGGCUCACCAAGGCGACGAUCCCUAGCUGGUCUGAGAGGAUGACCAGCCACACUGGGACUGAGACACGGUCCAGACUCCUACGGGAGGCAGCAGUGGGGAAUAUUGCACAAAGGGCGCAAGCCUGAUGCAGCCAUGCCGCGUGUAUGAAGAAGGCCUUCGGGUUGUAAAGUACUUUCAGCGGGGAGGAAGGGAGUAAAGUUAAUACCUUUGCUCAUUGACGUUACCCGCAGAAGAAGCACCGGCUAACUCCGUG